CAGGGUACUCGAGUGGCGAACGGGUGAGUAACACGUGGGUGAUCUGCCCUGCACUUCGGGAUAAGCUUGGGAAACUGGGUCUAAUACCGGAUAGGAACCAUCUUUAGUGUGUGGUUGGAAAGUUUUUUCGGUGUAGGAUGAGCUCGCGGCCUAUCAGCUUGUUGGUGGGGUAAUGGCCUACCAAGGCGGCGACGGGUAGCCGGCCUGAGAGGGUGUACGGCCACAUUGGGACUGAGAUACGGCCCAG
rnacentral:rRNA from 1 species